rnacentral:rRNA from 1 species
AUUGAACGCUGGCGGCAGGCUUAACACAUGCAAGUCGAACGAGUGGCGGACGGGUGAGUAAUGCUUGGGAAUCUGGCUUCUGGAGGGGGAUAACUACGGGAAACGGUAGCUAAUACCGCGUACCAUAGGAGGAGCCCAAGGGGGAUUAGGUAGUUGGUGGGGUAAAGGCUCACCAAGCCGACGACCUAACGCUGGUCUGAGAGGAUGAACGGCCACACUGGGACUGAGACACGGCCCAGACUCCUACGGGGGGCAGCAGUGGGGAAUAUUGCGCAAUGGGGGCAACCUGACGCAGCCAUGCCGCGGUAGUGAUGACGGCCUUCGGGUUGUAAAGCUCUGUUAAUCGGGAGACGGUACCGGAAUAGAAAGCCACGGCUAACUACGUGCCAGCCGCCGCGGUAAUUC